UACGUAGGGAGCAAGCGUUGUCCGGAAUCAUUGGGCGUAAAGCGCGCGUAGGUGGCCACAUAAGUCCGUUGUGAAAGUCAAAGGCUCAACCUUUGAAAGCCGAUGGAUACUGUGUGGCUAGAGUACGGAAGAGGCGAGUGGAAUUCCUGGUGUAGCGGUGGAAUGCGCAGAUAUCAGGAGGAACACCGGUGGCGGAAGGCGGGUCUCUGGGCAGUAACUGACUGAGGAGCGAAAGCGUGGGGAGCAACGG
rnacentral:rRNA from 1 species